rnacentral:rRNA from 1 species
GACGAACGCUGGCGGCGUGCUUAACACAUGCAAGUCGAACGGUAAGGCCCUUCGGGGUACACGAGUGGCGAACGGGUGAGUAACACGUGGGUGAUCUGCCCUGCACUUCGGGAUAAGCCUGGGAAACUGGGUCUAAUACCGGAUAGGACCACUGCCUGCAUGGGCGGUGGGGGAAAGCUUUUGCGGUGUGGGAUGGGCCCGCGGCCUAUCAGGUUGUUGGUGGGGUGAUGGCCUACCAAGGCGACGACGGGUAGCCGGCCUGAGGGGGUGACCGGCCACACUGGGACUGAGAUACGGCCCAGACUCCUACGGGAGGCAGCAGUGGGGAAUAUUGCACAAUGGGCGCAAGCCUGAUGCAGCGACGCCGCGUGAGGGAUGACGGCCUUCGGGUUGUAAACCUCCUUCAGCACCGACGAAGCGCAAGUGACGGUAGGUGCAGAAGAAGGACCGGCCAACUACGUGCCAGCCGCCGCCGUAAAAC